CUGUUAUUUAAUAUAUUAUCACUUGGAGUAGCAGCAUCGUUUGUGGAUGGAUCUCACUGCCCAUUCACACCUUUUCUGUUCUAUUUUUGCAUAACUAUUACAGAUGUGCUUUUUGCUGGGUCUUCAGGGAUAAGAGGCUGAACAAUGGCCUGGCUUACUGUAGGCAGUAGAUCACAUUUAUUGCCUGAGGGGUUACCCAGGAUGGGGACUCAGAGAUUUGCUGUUGUUGGGUUUUCAGG